UAAUUUAUCUUUUAAUUAAGAUUAUUAGAAAUUUAUUUUUUAGUUAUGAUUGGGGUGAUUUUUAAAGAUUAUUAAUCUUUAAAAUUUUUUAAUAAAAAAGUUCCAUUAGUAGUGAUUUUUUGAUAAAAAUACUCUAGGGAUAACAGCGUUAUUAUUUUGGAUAGUUCAUAUAGAUAAAAUAGUUUGCGACCUCGAUGUUGGAUUAGGAUUCUUUUAUGAUGAAGAAGUUAUAAGGGAGAAGUUUGCUCAACUUUUAAAGUCCUACUUGAUCUGAGUUCAGACCGGG
rnacentral:rRNA from 1 species